AGCCCUAGAGGUGGAACACUCCCAUGGCUUCCGACGAUGCUUGCAACGCUCCGAUAUGGUGGUUCCGAUGGAGCUGUGAGAGUGAUGCUCUCAACUCGUCCGUGCUUGGCUGUGGCCAGUCGCUGGCUCUCCUCUUGGACGGCCAGUUGAUAGAUCCGGCUGAGCGGUGGCAUUGGCUCCGUCGCCAAUAUCUGCGACCUAAAAUAAUUGGGAUCGCAACAAGAAGUCAGAAACCAACCGGAGGCAAUUCUAAGGUAGCGGAAGUUAGACCAGGAAGGACUGCUCUGAUACCAUGACAGAAAUUGAAGAGGAGGAAUAUGAAAUUUGUAUUUCUCAAUAUGUAUUUGUACAUGUACAUGGCUAUAUUUAUAGUACAAUAAGCAAUCAGGAAAUAAACAAACAUGAUAUCAUUUUCCUAUUUAA